CGUGCAUCUGGCUCCAGAGCCUUGCUUUGGCCAUGGGGACAAUGCUGCCAUUCCACAGCAGUAAACUUGUAAUACAAGAAAAGCAGUAAAAAGAGGAAAGAAAGGAGCAAGAUGUCCUAUCAGCAUGGUGCUAUAAACUGGAAAAUCCAAG
rnacentral:lncRNA from 1 species